rnacentral:rRNA from 1 species
AGUCGAAAGGGCAACAGCCCAGAUCGUCAGCUAAGGUCCCUAAAUGUAAGUUAAGUGGUAAAGGAUGUGGGAUUGCACAGACAACCAGGAUGUUGGCUUAGAAGCAGCCACUCAUUCAAAGAGUGCGUAAUAGCUCACUGGUCGAGUGAUCCUGCGCCGAAGAUUUCCGGGGCUAAAACUUACUACCGAAGCUACGGCAUCAGUAAUGAUGGGUAGGGGAGCUUCCCAUACGGGUUGAAGCAUGACCGUAAGGACAUGUGGACAGUAUGGGAGUGAGAAUGUUGGCAUGAGUAGCGAGAUGUGGGUGAGAAUCCCACAGGCCGUAAACCCAAGGUUUCCAGGGGAAGGUUCGUCCGCCCUGGGUUAGUCGGGACCUAAGCUGAGGCCGAAAGGCGUAGGUGAUGGACAACAGGUUGAUAUUCCUGUACUACCGAUAACCGUUUGAGAGAUGGGAUGACACAGUAGGAUAAGCUAAGCACACUGUUGGUUAUGUGUGCCCAAGCAUUGAGGCAGUCAAAGUAGGCAAAUCCGCUUUGAUAAUGCUGGGAUGUGAUGGGGAGCGAAAUUUAGUAGCGAAGUAGCUGAUUUCACACUGUCAAGAAAAGUCUCUAUCGAGGUUAAAGGUACCCGUACCGCAAACCGACACAGGUGGGUGAGGAGAGUAUCCUAAGGCCAGCGAGAGAACUGUUGUUAAGGAACUCGGCAAAAUGACCCCGUAACUUAGGGAUAAGGGGUGCCACCAUCAGGUGGCCGCAGAGAAUAGGCCCAAGCGACUGUUUACCAAAAACAUAGGUUUCUGC